rnacentral:rRNA from 1 species
UAAGGAAUAUUGCGCAAUGGGGGAAACCCUGACGCAGCAACGCCGCGUGGAGGAUGACACUUUUCGGAGCGUAAACUCCUUUUAUCAGGAAAGAAUAAUGACGGUACCUGAUGAAUAAGCACCGGCUAACUCCGUGCCAGCAGCCGCGGUAAUACGGGGGGUGCAAGCGUUACUCGGAAUCACUGGGCGUAAAGGACGCGUAGGCGGAUUAUCAAGUCUUUUGUGAAAUCUAGUGGCUUAACCACUAAACUGCUUAGGAAACUGAUAGUCUAGAGUAGGGGGGAGGUAGAUGGAAUUCUUGGGUAGGGGUAAAAUCCGUAGAGAUCAAGAAGAAUACCCAUUGCGAAAGCGAUCUGCUGGAACCUAACUGACGCUGAGGCGUGAAAGCGUGGGUAGCAAACAGG